GUGGACGAGGAUUACAGAGUUCCUUAUGCAACGACAAAGGUUACUCAAGGGGUGGAGGCAAAGCAGCAAUGGCGGACCGAGAGCUCCUUCAGCUGUUUAUGACACUUCAAUGCAUAUCUCAAGAAUAUCAUGACUGACAAAGAACUAAGUGAUGAAUAUCUAUCCUGACAUUGGAAAUGAUGUCGAGGCCAUUUUACUAGUUUGACAAUGGGGAGAGCAGAAUGAACUUAAAAUUGCACCACUGCGGGAUGUAGAGGCUUAGGGGAGUGAACUGUCAACUCUGCAUUUAG